rnacentral:rRNA from 2 species
UGGGGAAUUUUGCACAAUGGGGGAAACCCUGAUGCAGCGACGCCGCGUGAUUUAGAAGGCCUUCGGGUUGUAAAAAUCUUUUCUAUGGGAAGAAAAUGACAGUACCAUAGGAAUAAGGACCGGCUAAUUACGUGCCAGCAGCCGCGGUAAUACGUAAGGUCCGAGCGUUGUCCGGAAUCAUUGGGCGUAAAGGGUACGUAGGCGGGUAAGCAAGUUAGAAGUGAAAUCCUAUAGCUCAACUAUAGUAAGCUUUUAAAACUGCUCAUCUUGGGGUAUGGAAGGGAAAGUGGAAUUCCUAGUGUAGCGGUGAAAUGCGCAGAUAUUAGGAGGAAUACCGGUGGCGAAGGCGACUUUCUGGCCAUAACCUGACGCUGAGGUACGAAAGCGUGGGUAGCAAACAGG